rnacentral:rRNA from 1 species
AGGGUGAGGAAUAGAUAGGAACGUGCCUUUGGCUUCGGAAUAGCGUCCCGAAAGGGGCGGUAAUACCGGAUAACGUCUACGGACCAAAGAUUUAUCGGCCUUAGAGCGGCCUAUCUCCUAUCAGCUUGUUGGUGGGGUAAUGGCCUACCAAGGCAACGACGGGUAGCGGGACUGAGAGGUUGGCCCGCCACAUCGGGACUGAGACACUGCCCGGACCUCCACGGAGGGCUGCAGUAACGAAUAUUGGGCAAUGGGCGAAAGCCUGACCCAGCAAUGCCGCGUGUAGGAUGAAGCCCCUCGGGGUGUAAACUACUGUCAGGGGUUAGAAAGCUACGGUUGAUCAACCCCAGAGGAAGUCACGGCUAACUUCGUGCCAGCAGCCGCGGUAAUACGAAGGUGGCGAGCGUUAUUCGGAAUUACUGGGCUUAAAGCGCACGCAGGCGGAAUAUUUAGCGUCUUGUGAAAUCCCCCGGCUUAACCGGGGAAUUGCAGGGCGAACUGGUAUUCUUGAGGCAAGUAGGGGUGCAUGGAACUCUUGGUGGAGCGGUGGAAUGCGUAGAUAUCAAGAGGAACGCCGAUGGUGAAGACAGUGCACUGGGCUUGUCCUGACGCUGAGGUGCGAAAGCGUGGGGAGCGAACGGGAUUAGAUACCCCGGUAGUCCACGCCGUAAACGAUGCCUACUAGGUCGUGGUUGUUCUGACACACUCACGGCCGAAGCAAAAGUGUUUAGUAGGCCGCCUGGGGAGUACGGUCGCAAGGCUAAAACUCAAAGGAAUUGACGGGGGCUCACACAAGCGGUGGAGCAUGUGGAUUAAUUCGAAGCAACGCGCAGAACCUUACCUGGGUUUGACAUGUAUGGAUGCCUGCUGUGAAAACAGUUAGGUUGCCUUCGGGUGAAACUUACACAGGUGCUGCAUGGCUGUCGUCAGCUCGUGUCGUGAGAUGUCGGGUUAA